rnacentral:rRNA from 1 species
UUGCGGAGGAAAAGAAACCAACAGGGAUUGCCCCAGUAACGGCGAGUGAAGCGGCAACAGCUCAAAUUUGAAAUCUGGCCCCCCGGCCCGAGUUGUAAUUUGGAGAGGAUGCUUUUGGCGCGGCGCCGUCCGAGUUCCUUGGAACAGGACGCCACAGAGGGUGAGAGCCCCGUACGGACGGACGCCUAGCCUCUACAAAGCUCCUUCGACGAGUCGAGUAGUUUGGGAAUGCUGCUCAAAAUGGGAGGUAAAUUUCUUCUAAAGCUAAAUACCGGCCAGAGACCGAUAGCGCACAAGUAGAGUGAUCGAAAGAUGAAAAGCACUUUGAAAAGAGGGUUAAAAAGUACGUGAAAUUGUUGAAAGGGAAGCGCCUGUGACCAGACUUGCGCCCCGUGGACCACCCGGCGUUCUCGCCGGUGCACUCCGCGGGGCGCAGGCCAGCAUCGGUUUUCCUAGGGGGACAAAGGCCGCGGGAACGUAGCUCCUUCGGGAGUGUUAUAGCCCGCGGCGGCAUGCCCCUGGGGGGACCGAGGACCGCGCUCGGCAAGGAUGCGCGU